rnacentral:tRNA from 1 species
AGUAAGAUGGCUGAAAAAGCUGUAGAUUGUAAAUCUUCCCAUGGAAUUCUUCCUUUUACUG